rnacentral:rRNA from 1 species
GUCGAGAAUCUUUCACAAUGGGGGCAACCCUGAUGGAGCGACGCCGCGUGGAGGAUAAGGUCUUCGGAUUGUAAACUCCUGUCAUGCGUGAACAAGGUUGCUUGGUUAAUACCUGGGCAAAUUGAUGGUAACGCAAGAGGAAGAGACGGCUAACUCUGUGCCAGCAGCCGCGGUAAUACAGAGGUCUCAAGCGUUGUUCGGAAUCACUGGGCGUAAAGGGUGAGUAGGUGGCGUGGUAAGUCAGAUGUGAAAGCCCGGGGCUCAACCUCGGAACUGCAUCCGAUACUGCCAUGCUAGAGUACUGGAGAGGUGACUAGAAUUCUCGGUGUAGCAGUGAAAUGCGUAGAUAUCGAGAGGAAUACCAAAGGCGUAGGCAGGUCACUGGACAGUUACUGACACUGAGGCACGAAGGCCAGGGGAGCGAACGGGAUUAGAUACCCGAGUAGUCC